rnacentral:rRNA from 1 species
AACGAACGCUGGCGGCAGGCUUAACACAUGCAAGUCGAACGCGAAAUCACCUUCGGGUGGUGGAGAGUGGCAGACGGAUGAGUAACGCGUGGGAACCUACCUAGUGGUACGGAAUAACUCAGGGAAACUUGGGCUAAUACCGUAUGUGCCCGAAAGGGGAAAGAUUCAUCGCCACUAGAUGGGCCCGCGUCGGAUUAGCUUGUUGGUGAGGUAACGGCUCACCAAGGCGACGAUCCGUAGCUGGUCUGAGAGGAUGAUCAGCCACACUGGGACUGAGACACGGCCCAGACUCCUGCGGGAGGCAGCAGUGGGGAAUAUUGGACAAUGGGCGCAAGCCUGAUCCAGCCAUGCCGCGUGAGUGAUGAAGGCCCUAGGGUUGUAAGGCUCUUUCGGCGGGGACGAUAAUGACGGUACCCGCAGAAGAAGCCCCGGCUAACUUCGUGCCAGCAGCCGCCGCCG